CGGACAUCGAUCGCCUGCUGCCCUUCCUCGCGACGACGAGGCGCGCGGACCCUCCCCGCCUCCUCCCCAUCGAUCUCUGCUGCCUUCCUCGCCAGAUCCACCCGCAGACCCUCCCCGCAUCCAUCUCUGCCCUUCCUCGCGAGAUCUCUGCUGCCCUUGCUCGCCAGAUGGGCCGACACCGGCCGACUCUCUUCCUCUUCGCCCCAGUUCGUCUUCGUCCAUCGAUCUCACCCCACCACGGAUCCGCCCCAGUUCGUCUUCGUCCAUCGCCACGGCUCGCACGAGUCCGACUCCGUUCGGCUUCUUCGUUCGCUCCUGCUCGCAAUUCCCAACGGCUCUGCUCUCAUGCCAAUCUCCUACCAUUAAACACAAUAAAUCCGUCUUCAAGGCAGUAGAAACUGCUCGGACAAUUUCUUCCGCCACCGCCGUCUUAAAGCCACGCAAUGGUUCUGUCCGCCCCCACAAAGAACCGGCGAAAGUACGCCGCUGCAGCCACCACGGGCAGCUGCUCGAACGCCGGUUCAUCUGCGCCUACGGAAUUACGGAAGUUGUUGCGCCUCCGGAUUUAUGCUGCUACCCCAGGCCGUACGGUUUUCUUGGAAUUGAUUUCGGAUUGAUUUUUACACCUGUUCAUCAUCCACAGUGUACACUGCAUUCUUCAACUGAUUCAUCUCCGCGUACGGAAUUUGUCACGCCUCCAGAUAUCCGCUACCCCUGACCGUACCGUUUUCUUGGAAUUCAUUUUGGAUUGAUUUAUACAUCUGUUCGUCAUUCGCAGUGCAUUCUUCCAUUGGUACGCGUACUGUUAUCUCCUCCUCUUAAUUUCAAAUUUACAUUGCCGACCGUCAGUUCAUUGGUUAUACUCACUAGAAUGCAUCUGUGUUGCUUCUUUUAAAUAAGCAUGUAUCUGUUCGCAAACUAUGGAUAGCUCUGAAAAUAUUCAACCUGCUAGCCAUUCCGUUUCGCGUGGUCAUGGUCGUGGUCGCCCACGCCGUAGUUCUCAGCCUGCAGUCACUCCUACCCUACACCCGUUUUUUUCUUCGGAUAACCGGCAACGGCGUAUGCAGCUUAUACUUCUGCAGUGCUUGCCUUCCUUCCGUGAGAAUGCGUACUGCACGUUUAGUAGUAAAGAUUCCUGGAGCAUUUUGCUAAACUUUCAUCGGAUGCAUCUAUUGUUUUGAGUCCGAUUGGCACCUACUUUCUCUGCACACUUUGGGAAAAUACCAGGGGGAAACACUGCAAAUUAAAACACUGUCUCCUAUGAAAAUUCAAAGGAGGCCUCACCUCAACACCAAUAGUAGAGGUGUUGCAUCCUUCAACUGUAAGAAUUUUGUCGCUAACAGCAACCCACUACAUGGCCGUCGAGCGUCGGUAUGUGCAGAGCCGCGAGGCAGCGCGCGAGGGCAUUUGACCCACUGUAUAUGCAUUUUCUCCUGAUCUUAUUCCUUCAAUAUCAGAUCAUAAAUUUGAUACUCCAGACUACAAAGUCCAGAGUAACAUCAAUCACGGCCCUUGAAAGUCUGUCCAUUUUUUCUUGAUAAUUCAUUUCUCCCGCUGGAUGUGCAUACACAACAUAUACUAAACCUCUGCUGCAACUGGUUCUUAUGCAGUGCCCAAUAUGUGUUGGAUUUUCUCUACUUAUUUUGCUGAUGAUUGAUUCCCCCUACUAAUUUACAGGGAAAAUGUUCAUAUGCAAAGCCCGAUUACGCCUGUGCGGCUCCAAUUUUAUUUCAGAUUUCUCUCAGUAAAACCUUUCUUGCAUUCUAAUUAAUCUGAUUUGAUCUCUUUCUGCUCUAACAUGUACCACACAUGAAGGCUGAAACUACAUCUGGUCCAUCUCUGUGUCUCAUGGAAGCUUUCUAAGUACUUUGUCCUGAUGAUUUAUUUUCAUACGGUACUGUAGGUACACCUGGCCAAAUUAAAGGCACCGCAACAUCCCUCUAUAUAACAGAACACCAACAAUACCAAUUCAUCUGUCCAUAUCAAAAUACAUAAACAACUUUCAACCCGGAGGCUUCACCCAUCACCUCGCACAUGGAGCAACAAGGAGGAAACAACAGCACGCCAAUGAGGCCUACCGCGUCCGUAAUUCCAUCAGAACCAAAUCGUCAAAGAGAAGCUAACAAGAUGUACAUUAAAGCAAUAGAAGAACUGAAGCACAUCAAACGACCAAUGCAUAUAACUUUAUAGGCGGGUGACCAAGGGGAGCCUUCACGUGCUGAAAUCAAAAACAUACUUGGAAAAGAUGAGUUCUUCACAAUGGAGUACAUCAAAGAAGGAAAGAGACAAGUGACAGCUAUCUUUUCUGAGUAAUUUUUUUAAAAAGGCAAUAAGUAGUUACCAAUUCAAUCAUCGGGUCCUCACAUCAUGUAACUUUUUAUAAUCAACUUCCAAAUAAUCAAAUGAACUCCCUUUAAUCAAAUGUUUCAUAAACAAUGAAAAAUGUAUAUGACCUUUCUUCAAUACAUCGCUCAAGAAAUCCCGCUGCAACA